UUUAUGGAGAGUUUGAUCCUGGCUCAGAGUGAACGCUGGCGGCGUGCCUAAUACAUGCAAGUCGAACGAUGAAGCUUCUAGCUUGCUAGAAGUGGAUUAGUGGCGCACGGGUGAGUAACGCAUAGGUCAUGUGCCUCUUAGUUUGGGAUAGCCAUUGGAAACGAUGAUUAAUACCAGAUACUCCCUACGGGGGAAAGAUUUAUCGCUAAGAGAUCAGCCUAUGUCCUAUCAGCUUGUUGGUAAGGUAAUGGCUUACCAAGGCUAUGACGGGUAUCCGGCCUGAGAGGGUGAACGGACACACUGGAACUGAGACACGGUCCAGACUCCUACGGGAGGCAGCAGUAGGGAAUAUUGCUCAAUGGGGGAAACCCUGAAGCAGCAACGCCGCGUGGAGGAUGAAGGUUUUAGGAUUGUAAACUCCUUUUGUUAGAGAAGAUAAUGACGGUAUCUAACGAAUAAGCACCGGCUAACUCCGUGCCAGCAGCCGCGGUAAUACGGAGGGUGCAAGCGUUACUCGGAAUCACUGGGCGUAAAGAGCGCGUAGGCGGGAUAGUCAGUCAGGUGUGAAAUCCUAUGGCUUAACCAUAGAACUGCAUUUGAAACUACUAUUCUAGAGUGUGGGAGAGGUAGGUGGAAUUCUUGGUGUAGGGGUAAAAUCCGUAGAGAUCAAGAGGAAUACUCAUUGCGAAGGCGACCUGCUGGAACAUUACUGACGCUGAUUGUGCGAAAGCGUGGGGAGCAAACAGGAUUAGAUACCCUGGUAGUCCACGCCCUAAACGAUGGAUGCUAGUUGUUGGAGGGCUUAGUCUCUCCAGUAAUGCAGCUAACGCAUUAAGCAUCCCGCCUGGGGAGUACGGUCGCAAGAUUAAAACUCAAAGGAAUAGACGGGGACCCGCACAAGCGGUGGAGCAUGUGGUUUAAUUCGAAGAUACACGAAGAACCUUACCUAGGCUUGACAUUGAGAGAAUCCGCUAGAAAUAGUGGAGUGUCUGGCUUGCUAGACCUUGAAAACAGGUGCUGCACGGCUGUCGUCAGCUCGUGUCGUGAGAUGUUGGGUUAAGUCCCGCAACGAGCGCAACCCCCUUUCUUAGUUGCUAACAGGUCAUGCUGAGAACUCUAAGGAUACUGCCUCCGUAAGGAGGAGGAAGGUGGGGACGACGUCAAGUCAUCAUGGCCCUUACGCCUAGGGCUACACACGUGCUACAAUGGGGUGCACAAAGAGAAGCAAUACUGCGAAGUGGAGCCAAUCUUCAAAACGCCUCUCAGUUCGGAUUGUAGGCUGCAACUCGCCUGCAUGAAGCUGGAAUCGCUAGUAAUCGCAAAUCAGCCAUGUUGCGGUGAAUACGUUCCCGGGUCUUGUACUCACCGCCCGUCACACCAUGGGAGUUGUGUUUGCCUUAAGUCAGGAUGCUAAACCAGCUACUGCCCACGGCACACACAGCGACUGGGGUGAAGUCGUAACAAGGUAACCGUAGGUGAACCUGCGGUUGGAUCACCUCCUUUCUAGA
rnacentral:rRNA from 1 species